rnacentral:rRNA from 1 species
UACGUAGGGUGCGAGCGUUAAUCGGAAUUAUUGGGCGUAAAGGGCUCGUAGGCGGUCUGUCGCGUCGGGAGUGAAAACUCAGGGCUUAACCCUGAGCCUGCUUCCGAUACGGGCAGACUAGAGGUAUGCAGGGGAGAACGGAAUUCCUGGUGUAGCGGUGGAAUGCGCAGAUAUCAGGAGGAACACCGGUGGCGAAGGCGGUUCUCUGGGCAUUACCUGACGCUGAGGAGCGAAAGUGUGGGGAGCGAACAGG